rnacentral:rRNA from 1 species
GUUAAUGGGUGAUAGCGUGCCUUUUGUAGAAUGAACCGGCGAGUUACGAUUUGUUGCAAGGUUAAGCGGAAAAAGCGGAGCCGUAGCGAAAGCGAGUCUGAAUAGGGGCGUUUAAGUAACAGGUCGUAGACCCGAAACCAGGUGAUCUACCCAUGUCCAGGAUGAAGGUAAGGUAAUACUUACUGGAGGUCCGAACCCACGCACGUUGAAAAGUGCGGGGAUGAGGUGUGGGUAGCGGAGAAAUUCCAAUCGAACUUGGAGAUAGCUGGUUCUCUCCGAAAUAGCUUUAGGGCUAGCCUCGAGGUAAAGAGUCAUGGAGGUAGAGCACUGUUUGGACUAGGGGCCCUCUCGGGUUACCGAAUUCAGAUAAACUCCGAAUGCCAUGUACUUAUACUCGGGAGUCAGACUGCGAGUGAUAAGAUCCGUAGUCGAAAGGGAAACAGCCCAGACCACCAGUUAAGGUCCCCAAAUAUACGUUAAGUGGAAAAGGAUGUGGGGUUGCUUAGACAACCAGGAGGUUGGCUUAGAAGCAGCCAUCCUUGAAAGAGUGCGUAAUAGCUCACUGGUCGAGUGACCCCGCGCCGAAAAUGUACCGGGGCUAAACGUAUUACCGAAACUGUGGAUGAACCACUUUGUGGUUCGUGGUAGGAGAGCGUUCUAAGGGCGUUGAAGUCAGACCGAAAGGACUGGUGGAGCGCUUAGAAGUGAGAAUGCCGGUAUGAGUAGCGAAAGAAGGGUGAGAAUCCCUUCCACCGAAUAUCUAAGGUUUCCUGAGGAAGGCUCGUCCGCUCAGGGUUAGUCGGGACCUAAGCCGAGGCCGAUAGGCGUAGGCGAUGGACAACAGGUUGAUAUUCCUGUACCAGUGUCAAUUGUUUGACCAAUGGGGUGACGCAGAAGGAUAGGGAAUCGCACGAAUGGAAAUGUGCGUCCAAGCAGUGAGUGUGAGAAGUAGGCAAAUCCGCUUCUUGCGAAGCAUGAGCUGUGAUGGGGAAGGAAAUAAAGUACGGAAGUUCCUGAUUUCACGCUGCCAAGAAAAGCCUCUAGGAAGAGAGAUACUGCCCGUACCGCAAACCGACACAGGUAGAUGAGGAGAGAAUCCUAAGGUGAGCGAGAGAACUCUCGUUAAGGAACUCGGCAAAAUGACCCCGUAACUUCGGGAGAAGGGGUGCUCUAUUAGGGUGAAAGCCCGAGAGAGCCGCAGUGAAUAGGCCCAGGCGACUGUUUAGCAAAACACAGGUCUCUGCAAAAACCGUAAGGUGACGUAUAGGGGCUGACGCCUGCCCGGUGCUGGAAGGUUAAGAGGAUGGGUUAGCAUCUCGCGAAGCUCAGAAUUGAAGCCCCAGUAAACGGCGGCCGUAACUAUAACGGUCCUAAGGUAGCGAAAUUCCUUGUCGGGUAAGUUCCGACCCGCACGAAAGGCGCAACGAUCUGGGCACUGUCUCAACGAGAGACUCGGUGAAAUUAUAGUACCUGUGAAGAUGCAGGUUACCCGCGACAGGACGGAAAGACCCCGUGGAGCUUUACUGCAAUCUGAUAUGGAAUGUUUGUACCGCUUGUACAGGAUAGGUAGGAGCCGAAGAAUCGCGUGCGCCAGCAUGCGAGGAGGCGCUGGUGGGAUACUACCCCCGCUGUAUGACCAUUCUAACCCGCCACGCUUAGCGCGUGGGGAGACAGUGUCAGAUGGGCAGUUUGACUGGGGCGGUCGCCUCCUAAAGAGUAACGGAGGCGCCCAAAGGUUCCCUCAGAAUGGAUGGAAAUCAUUCGCAGAGUGUAAAGGCACAAGGGAGCUUGACUGCGAGACUGACAAGUCGAGCAGGGACGAAAGUCGGGCUUAGUGAUCCGGUGGUUCCGCAUGGAAGGGCCAUCGCUCAACGGAUAAAAGCUACCCCGGGGAUAACAGGCUUAUCUCCCCCAAGAGUCCACAUCGACGGGGAGGUUUGGCACCUCGAUGUCGGCUCGUCGCAUCCUGGGGCUGUAGUCGGUCCCAAGGGUUGGGCUGUUCGCCCAUUAAAGCGGCACGCGAGCUGGGUUCAGAACGUCGUGAGACAGUUCGGUCCCUAUCCGUCGCGGGCGCAGGAAAUUUGAGAGGAGCUGUCCUUAGUACGAGAGGACCGGGAUGGACGCACCGCUGGUGUACCAGUUGUUCCGCCAGGAGCAUCGCUGGGUAGCUAUGUGCGGCAGGGAUAAACGCUGAAAGCAUCUAAGCGUGAAGCCCCCCUCAAGAUGAGAUUUCCCAUUUCGUAAGAAAGUAAGAUCCCUGAAAGAUGAUCAGGUAGAUAGGUUUGGAGUGGAAGUAUGGCGACAUAUGGAGCGGACAAAUACUAAUCGAUCGAGGACUUAACCUU